UACGAAGGGGGCUAGCGUUGCUCGGAAUGACUGGGCGUAAAGGGCGCGUAGGCGGAUGGCACAGUCAGAUGUGAAAUUCCCGGGCUUAACCUGGGGGCUGCAUUUGAUACGUGUUGUCUUGAGUUCGGAAGAGGGUCGUGGAAUUCCCAGUGUAGAGGUGAAAUUCGUAGAUAUUGGGAAGAACACCGGUGGCGAAGGCGGCUCUCUGGACCGACACUGACGCUGAGGCGCGAAAGCGUGGGGAGCAAACAGG
rnacentral:rRNA from 1 species